rnacentral:misc_RNA from 1 species
GAUGAAGAACGUAGCGAAAUGCGAUAAGUAGUGUGAAUUGCAGAAUUCAGUGAAUCAUCGAAUCUUUGAACGCACCUUGCGCCCUUUGGCCAUUCCGAAGGGCAUGCCUGUUUGAGUAUCAUGAACACCUCAACUCUUUAUGGUUUUCCAUGAUGAGCUUGGACUCUGGGGGUUUUGCUGGCUCACAGUCGGCUCCUCUAAAAUGAAUCAGCUUACCAGUGUUUGGUGGGUAUCAUGGGCGUGAUAACUAUCUACGCUUGUGGUUUUUCCACCAGGUAACCUUCAGCAGUGGAGGUUCGCUGGAGCUCAUAGAUGUCUCUCCUCAGUGAGGACAGCCCUUUGAAUGUUUGAUCUCAAAUCAGGUAGGACUACCCGCUGAACUUAAGCAUAUCAAUAAGCGGAGGA